rnacentral:rRNA from 1 species
GAAAGAGGAGGCAAGCGUUAUCCGGAAUUAUUGGGCGUAAAGCGUUUGUAGGUGGUUUGACAAGACUGGGGUUAAAGCCCGGAGCCCAACUCCGGAUCGGCCCUAGAAACUGUCAGACUUGAGUAAUGAAGGGGUUGCGGGAAUUGCCGGUGUAGCGGUGAAAUGCGUAGAUAUCGGGAAGAACACCAGCGGCGAAAGCGCGCAACUGGGCCAUUACUGACACUGAGGGACGAAAGCUAGGGGAGCGAAUGGG